rnacentral:lncRNA from 9 species
AGUCUUGUGUCAAUAACAGAACAUUUUGAAAUUUCUUUUAAGUGAUAUUUACUUUGGGUGAACCAGACGAAUGCACUGGAACAAAUCCCGCGAGAGGCAUAGGCAGGCUUGAGUAGGUUCCUUGGUGCCCAACUUCCUACUAACACUGUAGUUUGACUCUCUGAAUUUCAGAGAGGGGGCUUUAUUUGGCAUUAAGCAUCCGUGGGUAUUUCAGAAAGCUGAUUUUAAUCUCAACAUAAACCGCCUCUUCAAAUAUGGGGGGAUAACAUGAGUGCAGAUUUUAUCUCAUUUCCCUUUCCCUUGUGAACUUUCUGGGUCCUAGAAAUAUUAAAUUUAAACUACCCCCCUCAUUUUUUUUUUAUUGAGGUACGAGUGACGUAUAACAUUGUAUUAGUUUCAGGUGUACAACAUAAUGAUUAGUAUAUAUUGCAUAAAGUCUUUAUAGUAAUGUCAUCCUGAACAUAGAGUGACAUAUAAAAUAAAACCCAUAAUGAAAGAAAACAAAUACAUAAUUUUUAUUUUUACAAAGCUAAUCUUUAGAAGGAAGAUCACCCUUAUUUACUUCCUAUGAUUUAAUUCUAAUUAUGGCCCCCAGAACACAUUCUAAAUUAUUAUGCUGUAGCUUGAAUAUUGCUAAUUACCUAUGCUUCCAAUUGGGAAAGGAAAAAAAAAUUUAAUUAGCUCCGAAGUUGGAGAACUAUUGAAACAAAUAUUAUUUCCAUGCCACUUCUCUGUACGUUCUCAUGCAGAUGAUCUAUUUAAUUGCUAGUGUUUCUUGCUUGAUGUGUGACUGUAUUUGGCAACCAUUGCUGCGGAGUUGAGUAUCAUGAACCUUCCUAAGCCACAUAGGUUCGGAAGGUUUCCUGACAGGGCAGAGAAAGUAAAAUCUCAGAUCUGCUGCCCCCACAGUCUUCUAGAACAUGCUAUGUGUAGAGAAGGCAUGGGCGAGGUUUCUAAUUGGAAAGGUGAUCUUUUGUAAUUCCUUAAAGCCCUUAACUUCAACUCCACUGAGAACGCACGUCCUUCCGUUUCUGUCUAGUUUUGAACAUUCAGUGUCUGUUUCUGAGUUGGCCUCUCAUACAUCUGCACUUCUUCCUCUAGCAUUUUUAAUUGCUAUGACAUCUCUGUGCUUUCUCAUCGAGUGGUUACUCCACAUCAGUUUAUGUCUGACAUAGGUUGUGCAUUCUUCUAAAAGCUGUGAGCUCUUUUUCCUUCUAUAAUUUUUUCUUCAAUUUUUGUUUACUGCACAAACAGCAGCAUAAUAUUAAUAAGGAAACAAAAGAAGGCUCAAUUCUGUGUUGACAUUACAAUGAACCAGCUAUUUUUGUUCUAUGUUUCUAGUUUUUUGAUCACACAUGUAAAUAUUUCCAUAAUUGUAAUGCUAGAGGACAUAUGAUUCUAAGGAUUUUUUUUUUCAUGUUGUUGUAUCACCAUCACCCUAAUGAAUGUUUAUGUCAUUGAAUUGAUACACUGCCAUGUAUUUAGAUAUGUUUAUUUGCUGGAUAUUUAAUGUUGCCGUGUUUUUUUCUGUUUGUAAACAAUAUUCAGUUGUGCAUCAUUGUUCUCAUGGCUUUCUCUUUCCUUUUGAGUAAUUUCACUUAAAUGGGUAGGAUAGCUUUCAUUGUUCUCAGGUUCUACACUGUGUUUACGUGGUGUUUGUUUUUAGCACAGGGUGUCAUUUAUAAGAAGACACUUAGUGUCUUGGGGAUCAGGCAAUGAUAAGGAAGACCAUUUUGGAAGCAGUCUUUUUAUGUGAAAUUACUGUUAGGAUUCUGAAGAUAUUCUUUUAGGAAAUGAUAGUGUAAGCGAAGCAGCCACUGAGUCUUUGGGGAGCUUAUCAGAGCCUUGGGAUGUAAAAGGCCAGUUAGAAAUUCAUGUGCUAGCCCGCUGUCAUCUAUGAUGAAAUUAUUUCUAGGAACUAACAACAUCGUCUCAACAAUAUCAAAGGCUAUUUUUAAAGCUGGCUUGGUAUCCUGUAUAGCUUUCCAAAUAUCAUUUGAAAGUUUUCCUUUAUGUCUAAUCAGCAUCUCAAUCUGCUAUGGAAAAUCAUCUUCAAGUAUCACAGUCCAACUUGCAGUUAAACACAGCUACAUUCUUCUGCGUCGAGAGUAGAGAUGUUGUCCCUUCUAAGACCAUGAGUUGUUCGUUGGCUUUCGAGUUGGGCACGGAGCAGAGUAAAAGCAGUGUCCCUGUAGGAUUAAGAGAGGUGAUUGAAGAUGGGCGUUGGUAGAACUCCAGGGUAGGCUCCCCUCUCUCCAUAUCUGUUUGGUUUCAAAAGAGGAGGAUUGACUCUGUAGUCCAGCGAAGCCUUCGAUGAUGGGUUUCCCUGUUAUCCCAUGCCCACUGGACACUGAAAAUAUGCUGAACAGAUUAAAGAGCUGGGAGUAUUUACUAAUUUAUUUGGGUGAGGUGAUGAUAGCAGAUGACAGCUUGUUGGGAAACCCACAGUGAACAUUCGGAGGUGAUACACAUUUUAUUAAUAUGCUCAUUGCUGAAAGACCCCCCAUUUCUUUUCUCUCUUUCUCUGUCUUCCUCCUUAUUUCCCCCUCUAUUGUUGGCCCUUUUCUGAUAUUCCCAGUGCUGUUUUCCCCUCUUUCCUCUCUCUCCUCCCCCACCCUCUAGAUCACUCUUCUCCCCCAGCCCGCAAUCCCACCCUCACUUCAUCUUUAGAGCUCCCUUCCCUCUUAGUUUCUGCCAUUCUUCAUUCCUUUCGGCUUCCUUUGGGAAAUUUUUGUCUUUAAAUUUUGAGUGUGCUAAGGGAAUGUCAUUUCAUAGUGAACAACUGCCGAAUUCAGGGACUGCAUUUUGUGGCUUAUUGAUAAACAGAGGCUGCAGGACCUAGUGCUUUUGGCAGUGAUUUAAGGGUGAUGGCGCUGUGUCUCCGAUGGACUUGAUUAUGUUGUGGGACAGCUGGAUUCCAUUUUCGCCCGACUUUGACCUCUCUUGGUGAUGUAAUUAACAGUGGGCCAGCCACAGAUCAUAAAGUGAGAGCAGUUCAAUGAAUAAUAUUAUGUACUGAUGCCUGAAGUUUGUCUUACCCAUGGGACCUAGUGGGCAUGGGGUAUGCCUGAGCUAGGAGGGACAUUUAAACUCACUUGCCUGACACCGGAUUAUGAGAGUCCGGACAAGCAUCCUCCGACAGCUGCUCAAUACAGAUGGCGAAUGAGCUCGGAAGCUUGAGGCUGAUGUGUCCAGGAGCCCAGAGGCAAAUGGACCCUUUUCUCUCCAGGCUCAGCAUCUGUGUUCGCUAUUAGAAGUGAUCAGAUGACGUUUUAAUCUCUUUUCCAGAUGAAGCUUGGGAGGCUUAAUUUUUGGUGAUUAAACUAGACUUCCGAAUAGAUUUCCCCAAACCCGGAACACCUUGCACAGAGAUUCAUAUAGUGGAGGAGGUCUGCCUUCCGUGAUGAGUGUUGCAGUGAAUUCUGUCCUUUUCAUGGCUUUUGUGCAUAGUGAUUAACAGAGAAUGAGCUGACAGCCAAGCCCAACAUAGAAAAAAUGAAUGGGGAGGGUAUUAACUAUGGAUUGAAUAACUCUCAUUUGCUUGAGGUGCAUAAAAUGAGUUGAGGUCUAACCCUCAUCGUGGUUUCAUUAACUAAUUAAGGAAUGGGGCAGAGUGGUUCAGACAGAGUCACGUGAGUGGAAGCCAUCUUCCAAUAAUCUGUAAGGUGUUACUCCGGACACCAGAUGCUUUGGUUUCCACCAGAAGCUGGGCAGACAGGACUGUGUAGACAAACAGUAAUUCUUGGAAUUCCAGGAGCCUUGGGCAGGGGCACCACUUUUGUGCUUUUUCUUUGUCCUGUCUGUCUCAUGAAAUAGAAUAGAUGCUGGGUGAGCCCAAAGGAGAGGGAGAGGCCCUUUAAAAGGAAAGCAUUUCUUACCUCUUCUGUGAAUAAGUUUGAAGUGUAACAAGCUGACCUCACAGAAGGGGUUCACCUUGCGUUUAUGCUUUAAGCCUACCUGUGGAAAGAUGCCACCACAGGGAGGGAGGAGGAGGUCAGAGAGGAUGGGCAGCCUGGGCUUUCCGGAACCCCCUUUGAUUCAUUUAUUUAAUCAUUCGCUCAGAAACAUCAGCAAGGGCUAGGAGCUAUGCAAGCUUGUGCAAUGAAGUUUCAUUGUUUACUUUGAAAUGAAUUCUCUGUUAAUAGGCACCCUGUAAAAGCAAAGACAGAGUUGAAAUCACACAUUCAAAGGCAAAUCAGAGGGAUUUUCAGUCAUCCUUUCCAUCACUGCUUUUUUCCAUCAAAGGGGACCGUUAUGAUUUGGUUCCUACCACCUCCGUGGGCCCAUUCCUUGGACGCCCCCAGAUGGCGACGUGGGGCUUGUAGGUGGCGUAGAAAUAGAGGUGGAUGCCUUCCUGUCCACCCAGGCUGGCCAGGCCUGAGAAUCGAGGAUAUUAGGGUAGCCACUAGAUCUCAUUUCAGAGAGCGUAUCUCUAGAGUUUAAAUGAGUUUGCCUUAAAUCCCAAAGAAUUGCAGAUGAUGUCAUCCUUUGAGACAUUUUAUUAGGCAGAUGAAAUUAAGAUCCAGGAAAUGUUAUUUCACAUUUCAUCGGAGGGGAAAGUCAAGUCUUGUGAAAGUUGUUUACUAUAACAGAAGGUUGUCGUGUGUCUGUUUCAGCUCAGUUUUCCUCAUCCUUUCAGGAUCUGUGUUGCCUACUGCCCUCCACUCCUUGCACCGUAGAAAAUCCAGUCUGCUAGGAGCUUGUUGAGAUGACUAAUAGCCUUCUUCCAGCUGUGGACUCUCUGAAAAUAGUCCAGGGAAAUCUGUUGUGCUGUAUCAAGCAUGUGGUUCUUAUAUGCCCACAUGGGACCUAUUUAUUUAGCUCCAGCGUUGUAACUCAGAUGGCCAUUUUCCUUCUUGGGGUAGCAUUACGUGCUCCCACUUGAUGGUAAUUGAGCCACUGACUUGAGUGCUAUUUCUGGUGUUGUUGGUGAUGUGGCCUCCACCUAAGAUAAGUUAUUUGGCCACUUGCCGCAAACUCUAAUAAUGUAAUAUAAUCAAGGCUAUGAGACUAGCUCCUAAGUUUACACAAAUAUCCCACCGAAUCUUACCUGUUCUUGACUUAGCUGAUGGAAUCUGUGAAAGGAGAGGGAGAAUAAUAAACUGGUUGUGGUUUGGGGGUAUUUUGGAUAAGGGUGUUGGCGGGGGAGACAGAAUGGGAGAUGCAUUGAAGUGUCUCAGCCUCUCUCUUAUGCUAGAACAGAUACUGAGAAAACACUUCCUAGAUAUUGGGAGUAAAUUUCUUUUCUGAGAUAUCCUAAGUGGCUCAGAAGAGGAUUUCAGUAUGAAAUGACUUUUUUAAAAAAUGAAAGCACAGACAAUUCUCUCUCCACCCUCGACCCUUUACAGAAUUUCAAAGGAGAGGAGAGAUAGAAAUGAAGCUGACGAGAGAAGCCAUCUAAAAUUAAAACUCUCCAUAUGGAAUUCCUUUUUCUUUUCCUCUAGAUAUUGUAUUCACUCUAGUCCUAGAAAUUCAGCUCCAUAUUUAAGUAUUGUCUUACAGGAUGGCCAUUGGAGGCUCUUUUAAACUCCUAGCUUCUGUCAUUGCUCAAUGAUUUAUGCCAUCUAAAUGGUGAAAAUGUGUUCUUCUAAAUGAUGUUUUUAUUUAAAAAUAUCUUUACUGGAGUUCCUAUGUGGCUUAGCGGGUUAAGGAUCUGGUGUUGUCACUGCUGUGGCUCAGG